rnacentral:rRNA from 1 species
UUGGAGGGCAAGUCUGGUGCCAGCAGCCGCGGUAAUUCCAGCUCCAAUAGCGUAUAUUAAAGUUGUUGCAGUUAAAAAGCUCGUAGUUGAAUUUCGGGAUUGACGUGAUGGUCAUGCCUUAAGGGGUAUGAACUGUCACAGUUGAUUUCUCACCUUCUGGAGAAACUUGAUGUCCUUUAUUGGGUGUCUUGCGGAUCCAGGACCUUUACCUUGAAAAAAUUAGAGUGUUUAAAGCAGGCAUUUUUGCUCGAAUACAUUAGCAUGGAAUAAUAGAAUAGGACGGCAUGGUUCUAUUUUGUUGGUUUCUAGGAUCACCGUAGUGAUUAAUAGGGAUAGUUGGGGGCAUUAGUAUUCAAUUGUCAGAGGUGAAAUUCUUGGAUUUAUUGAAGACUAACUACUGCGAAAGCAUUUGCCAAGGAUGUUUUCAUUAAUCAAGAACGAAAGUUAGGGGAUCGAAGACGAUCAGAUACCGUCGUAGUCUUAACCAUAAACUAUGCCGACUAGGAAUCAGACGAUGUUAAUUUUUUAAUGACUCGUUUGGCACCUUACGGGAAACCAAAGUGUUUGGGUUC